rnacentral:tRNA from 1 species
GGGCAUGUGGUGAAAUUGGUAUACACGUACGCUUCAGGUGCGUAUGGAGCAAUCCGUGGAGGUUCGAGUCCUCUCAUGCCCA